CUGUGCUUCAUACCUCUGGCUGAGAUUUAUCAGGAAUCGGGAUCUGAUGCCAUUACGUUUUCAGAAACGGUUGACGAAAUAAGACAUUCAUACAUCACCGAGACCGUUGAGGAACGUAGGGCAAUGUGCCAACUACAAGAUCAGGAAUAUAGUGCUUCAUUGUUGGCAGACAGA